rnacentral:rRNA from 1 species
UACGAAGGGGGCUAGCGUUGCUCGGAAUCACUGGGCGUAAAGGGUGCGUAGGCGGGUCUUUAAGUCAGGGGUGAAAUCCUGGAGCUCAACUCCAGAACUGCCUUUGAUACUGAAGAUCUUGAGUUCGGGAGAGGUGAGUGGAACUGCGAGUGUAGAGGUGAAAUUCGUAGAUAUUCGCAAGAACACCAGUGGCGAAGGCGACUCACUGGACAUGUAUUGACGCUGAGGUACGAAAGCGUGGGGAGCAAACAGGG